GGGCGAAUGGUUUAGUGGUAUAAUACUCCCUUAGCAUGAUUAAAAAUCUGGGAGUGGUCCAGGGUUCGAUUCCCUGUUCGUCCA